rnacentral:piRNA from 1 species
UCCAAAUCAGUGCUGAGCCCAAACCUGGGUUA